AUGGUACUCCCUCCGUCCCAUAUUAAGUGACUCAAAUUUGUCCAAAUAUGGAUGUAUCUAUGCCUAAAAAGCGUCUAGAUACAUGUAAUAGAAAGUCACUUAAUAUGGGACGGAGGGAGUAUGUA
rnacentral:pre_miRNA from 1 species